AUACGUAGGUGGCGAGCGUUGUCCGGAAUUACUGGGCGUAAAGGAUGCGUAGGUGGGUACUUAAGUGGGAUGUGAAAUCCCCGGGCUCAACCCGGGAACUGCAUUCCAAACUGGGUAUCUAGAGUGCAGGAGAGGAAAGCGGAAUUCCUAGUGUAGCGGUGAAAUGCGUAGAUAUUAGGAGGAACACCAGUGGCGAAGGCGGUUUUCUGGACUGUACCUGACACUGAGGCAGGAAAGCGUGGGUAGCAAACAGGAUUAGAUACCCUGGUAGUCCACGCCGUAAACGAUGGGUACUAGGUGUAGGAGGUAUCGACCCCUUCUGUGCCGUCGUUAACACAAUAAGCAUCCCGCCUGGGGAGUACGGUCGCAAGGCUGAAACUCAAAUGAAUUGACGGGG
rnacentral:rRNA from 1 species